rnacentral:rRNA from 1 species
CCUACGGGGGGCUGCAGUGGGGAAUAUUGGACAAUGGGGGGAACCCUGAUCCAGCCAUGCCGCGUGUGUGAAGAAGGCCCUCGGGUUGUAAAGCACUUUCAGUGAGGAAGAACGCCUGGUGGUUAAUACCCAUCAGGAAAGACAUCACUCACAGAAGAAGCACCGGCUAACUCCGUGCCAGCAGCCGCGGUAAUACGGAGGGUGCGAGCGUUAAUCGGAAUGACUGGGCGUAAAGCGCGCGUAGGUGGCUUGAUAAGCCGGUUGUGAAAGCCCCGGGCUCAACCUGGGAACGGCAUCCGGAACUGUCCAGCUAGAGUGCAGGAGAGGAAGGUAGAAUUCCCGGUGUAGCGGUGAAAUGCGUAGAGAUCGGGAGGAAUACCAGUGGCGAAGGCGGCCUUCUGGACUGACACUGACACUGAGGUGCGAAAGCGUGGGUAGCAAACAGGAUUAGAUACCCGAGUAGUC